CCUACGGGUGGCAGCAGUGAGGAAUAUUGGUCAAUGGCCGUAAGGCUGAACCAGCCAUGCCGCGUGAAGGUCAGUGCCCUAUGGGCGUUAAACUUCUUUUGUGCGGGAGCAAUAAUGGUCACGUGUGGCCAGACGAGAGUACCGUACGAAUAAGCAUCGGCUAACUCCGUGCCAGCAGCCGCGGUAAUACGGGGGAUGCAAGCGUUAUCCGGAUUUAUUGGGUUUAAAGGGUGCGUAGGCUGUGAGGUAAGUCAGCGGUGAAAUGCCCCCGCUCAACGGGGUGAAGUGCCAUUGAUACUGGCUGGCUGGAAUGCGGAUGCCGUGGGAGGAAUGUGUGGUGUAGCGGUGAAAUGCAUAGAUAUCACACAGAACACCGAUUGCGAAGGCAUCUCACGAAUCCGCGAUUGACGCUGAUGCACGAAAGCGUGGGUAUCAAACAGGAUUAGAUACCCGGGUAGUC
rnacentral:rRNA from 1 species